rnacentral:rRNA from 1 species
GUAGGCUUAACACAUGCAAGUCGUGCGAGAAAGUAUCUUCGGAUAUGAGUAGAGCGGCGGACGGCGUGACUAACGCGUAGGAAUCUACCUASUGCAAGGGGAUAGGCCCGGGGAAACCCGGAUUAAUACCGAAUACCUCCUUCGGGAGAAAGACCGCCUAUGUUUGAAGCUUUCCCUACUAGCAUGAGCCUGCGUACACGAUAUAGGCUUGWUGGUGAGGUAAAGGCUCACCAAUCGCGACAGAUCUUUAGUCUCGUUCUGAGAGGACAGAUCAUCCACAUUGGGACUUGAGACACGGGACCAGACUCCUACUGGAGGCAGCAGUGGGGAAUAUUGGACAAUGGGCGCRAGCCUGAUCCAUGCCAUACCGCKUGUGUGAAGAAGGCCUUCGGCUUGUAAAGCACUUUAACCAGGGAGAAAAAGUUAUAGGUUAAUACCUUAUCCCUUGAUGUUACCUGCACAAUAAGCACCGGCUAAUUCCGUGCCCGCAGCCGCAGUAAUACGGAUGGUGCAAGGCGUUAAUCGGAAUUACUGGGCCGUAAAGCGCGCGUAGGCGGUUUGUUAAGUUGGAUGUGAAAGCCCUGGGCUCAACCUAGGAACUGCAUCCGAAACUAGCUCACUAUGAGUACUGAUUAGAGGGAGGGUAGAAUUCAUAGUGUAGCCGGUGGAAUGCGUAGAUAUUAUGAAGGAAUACCAGUGGCCGAAGGCGGCCUCCUGGAUCUGUACUGACACAUGAGGUGCCGAAAGCGUGGGUAGCGAACAGGAUUAGAUACCCUGGUAGUCCACGCCGUAAACGAUGACAACUAGCUGGUGGGAGACAAUGUGUUUCAGUGGCGCAGCUAACGCUUUAAGUUGUCCGCCUGGGGAGUACGGCCGCAAGGCUAAAACUCAAAUGAAUUGACGGGGACCCGCACAAGCGGUGGAGCAUGUGGUUUAAUUCGAUGCAACGCGAAAAACCUUACCUACUCUUGACAUACUUGGAAGCUCUUGUAAUGAGAGUGUGCUUUUAAGAACCAAGAUCACAGGUGCUGCAUGGCUGUCGUCAGCUCGUGUCGUGAGAUGUUCCGUUAAGUCGGAUAACGAGCGCAACCCUUACCCUUAUUUGCCAGCGAUUCGGUCGGGAACUAUAAGGGGACUGCCGAGUGAUAAACCGGAGGAAGGUGAGGACGACGUCAAGUCAUCAUGGCCCUUACGAGUAGGGCUACACACGUGCUACAAUGGGAGAUACAGACGGACGCUAACCCGCGAGGUGGUGCUAAUCCUAUAAAGUCUCUCGUAGUCCGGAUUGGAGUCUGCAACUCGACUCCAUGAAGUCGGAAUCGCUAGUAAUCGCGGAUCAGCAUGCCGCGGUGAAUACGUUCUCGGGUCUUGUACACACCGCCCGUCAUACCAUGGAAGUGGAUUGCACCAGAAGUAGAUAGUCUUAACCUUAGGGAGGGCGUUUACCACGGUGU